GACGAACGCUGGCGGCGUGCUUAACACAUGCAAGUCGAACGGAAAGGCGCUGCUUUUGUUGGGUGCUCGAGUGGCGAACGGGUGAGUAACACGGGAGUAACCUGCCCUUGACUGUGGGAUAACUUCAGGAAACUGGGGCUAAUACCGGAUAGGAGCUCCUGCAGCAUGGUGGGGGUUGGAAAGUUUCGGCGGGUGGGGAUGGACUCGCGGCUUAUCAGCUUGUUGGUGGGGUAGUGGCUUACCAAGGCUUAGACGGGUAGCCGGCAUGAGAGGUGGACCGGGGACCUGGCGCCUGCGAGACGGACCAGACGCCAACGGUAGGCAGCAGUGGGGAGUAUGGCACAACGAGGGGAAGCCUGAGGCAGCAACGCUGCGUGCGGGAUGAAGGCCUGCGGGUUGUAAACCGCUUUGGCCUGUGACGAAGCGUGAGUGACGGUAAUGGGUAAAGAAGCACCGGCUAACUACGUG
rnacentral:rRNA from 1 species